rnacentral:rRNA from 1 species
GACGAACGCUGGCGGCGUGCCUAAUACAUGCAAGUUGAGCGCUGAAGGUUGGUACUUGUACCAACUGGAUGAGCAGCGAACGGGUGAGUAACGCGUGGGGAAUCUGCCUUUGAGCGGGGGACAACAUUUGGAAACGAAUGCUAAUACCGCAUAAAAACUUUAAACACAAGUUUUAAGUUUGAAAGAUGCAAUUGCAUCACUCAAAGAUGAUCCCGCGUUGUAUUAGCUAGUUGGUGAGGUAAAGGCUCACCAAGGCGAUGAUACAUAGCCGACCUGAGAGGGUGAUCGGCCACAUUGGGACUGAGACACGGCCCAAACUCCUACGGGAGGCAGCAGUAGGGAAUCUUCGGCAAUGGACGAAAGUCUGACCGAGCAACGCCGCGUGAGUGAAGAAGGUUUUCGGAUCGUAAAACUCUGUUGGUAGGGAAGAACGUUGGUGAGAGUGGAAAGCUCAUCAAGUGACGGUAACUACCCAGAAAGGGACGGCUAACUACGUG